UUUUUGAAAAAUAAUUUAAAGUCUAAUCUGCCCACUGAAAAUUUUUAAAGGGCUGCAGUAUAUUGACUGUACAAAGGUAGCAUAAUCAAUAGUCUUUUAAUUGGAGACUUGUAUGAAUGAUUUGAUGAAAUAUAAACUGUCUCUUUAUUAUGUAUUAGAAUUUAAUUUUUUAGUCAAAAAGCUAAAAUAGAUAUAAAAGACGAGAAGACCCUAUAGAGUUUUAUUUUUAUUUAUAUUUAAAAUAUUUAUAAAAUUUAUAUUUUAAAUAUAAAUAAAAAUUUUGUUGGGGUGAUAGAAAAAUUAAAGAAACUUUUUUUAAAUAUUAAACAUAAAUAAAUGAUUUUUUGAUCCAUAAUUUAUGAUUAUAAGAAUAAAUUACCUUAGGGAUAACAGCGUAAUUUUUUUUUUUAGUUCUUAUAAAAAAAAGAGUUUGCGACCUCGAUGUUGGAUUAAGAUAAAAUUUAAAUGCAAAAGUUUAAAAUUUUGAUCUGUUCGAUCAUUAAAAUCUUACAUGAUCUGA
rnacentral:rRNA from 1 species